rnacentral:lncRNA from 1 species
AUACUUCAGCAUGAGGAACACAUUUCUCUCUUCUCAGGGAACUUUAGUGGGGCUUCCAUAAAAUGAUUGGGGCUUGGAUCCUUGCAAAGAGAUAGGGGCUUCCAGGGCAGAAGGCAAAAGCAGCAGCAUCUAGGGGAGUUAUCUGGGAGUAGGGGAGGGUAUUUGGAGGAGGAGUUCCUGGAAGUAGUAUUCAGUAUGGGUGGAAACAAGCCAAGGAAAGGAUGUGGAUGGAUGAGCCCUGGGUAGUCUUGUCUGAAGUGAUAUGCAGUGAAGAGUUGGAGGAUAAGGCAUACACAGAAUUAUACAUGUCAGAGAAUAAUCAAAUGCCUCAGAGAAGGACAUGAGUUUAUUGGUUUGCUAGGCAACACCAGUGAAGAAAUUCACUGAAGAGAUGUCUUAGGUAUUUGCAAGUAAAGGGAGGUGGGAAUUCAUGGUGUUUAUGCUAAUUGAGGAUGAAAAGCAAGAACCCUGGAUAGGAGAGAAUGAGUCCAUUGGUCUCUAUACAUUUGGUUAAAAUAAGUUCUGCUUUCAUAGGUCAAGAAUGAGUCUUUAGUAAACCUUUGAGGAUUGAGGGAAAGGGAUCUCAAAGUUCACGGUGCUUUAACUGUUUCAGCCAGUUAGAUGAAUUGCAGUAAGGCAGCAUUUGGUUUCUGUAGCUCCCAGGCAAGUUCCUUAGUCACUGGAACAUUUUCCUUUUACAAAAAUAAUGUGGGGUGACAGAUCUACCUCAGAAGCCAUGAUAAGGGGUGUGUUAACAUGUUGGCAACUAGAAGCCCCUGAAAUGCUCCAGGAAGAGAAUGGCACAGACAGAUUUCUACCCAGGGGGCUGGGGGUACCCUGGCAGCCCUGCAGAGGGGGGUCCUGAGGGGGAUCAGAGAGUUGACUAUCCAUAUCUCUUCUAAAAAGAAAUCAAUUUAGUUUUAUGAAAAGACACUAAUACAUAAAAAAUGAAGAAGACGAAGUCCCUGCCUUUCCAGAAAAGUGUUAACAUUUUGAAUGUUUGGAUGAGCUUGGUGUGAAGAGGUGAGGCUGUUUUAAAAUCCGUCCUGGUUGGUGCUCCCUGAGCUUUAGGAAAGCCUGAAGGAGGCUCUGCUGGGAAUGGCAAUUAACAGUCUAGGCACAUGGUAGGAGCCAAUGCAUGCAAAUGAAAAACAAACAAACCUGAAAGUGGGAUGGAGAGAAGGAGGUACAGGGGGGAGGGACAGAGAGCAGAUGAAACAGUGAACCCACCCAUCCGAUGAAUUCUUCUCUGCUCUCAUUUCCAAACUGCACAGGCUUGGCUGAGCAUGCACCUUACUUGUUAAUCUCAUUUUUGCAUCCCUGUUUUUGUGGCUGUCAGAACUCCAUAUUAUGCAAAUUGGGUUUAAGCAAUUAAGGCAAUAAUGUUUCCCUUGAAGAGUUUGACAAGGUAGUGGGAGCUUGGACUGAAUUUUAUAGACAGGAGCUUGGAUGUUUAUUUACCUACAAAUAGAGGAGGAACAAGAAAAGGGAAAACACUGCAGCACCAGUCAUACCUGAGCUGUGCUGCUGACUUUCUUGCUUUUCUUCUGUUGUUUCACAGGAGAACAAAGGGUCACUGCACGGCAUUAGCAGGUGGUAAAUUUAGAAUAGAUGAACACGUUUCACAAGACAUAGAAUUAACCUGUUGAAUUUACUGCUACAGAAGGCCACGGAAUCAAGUCUUCUGGCAGAUUUUAAAAGAGCUGGGUGAUUUCAUGACAAAUAAUAGUUGAAGUCAGUGGGAUGCUGUCUCCUAUUUGGGGUCACAAGCUGAUUGUCUUGCAGCUACAGAGAAGCAAGGCCAGAAAGCUGGACUUUGUCCUCAACAAACCAAAUUGCCCAGUAGAUGAGAAUGUCACAAUAAUUUUCCUCUGAAAAAUCCACUGUCAUUAGGAAACCAGAUAUGAUGCAUCAGACUCUUAAAUGGGGAUAGCACAUUUCACAUUUCUGUACUUAGGGGAACAACACCCAGAUGAUGCUGUGCUCAGCUUGAGCAUGUGGCUGAAAAAACCCCUCUUAUAGAUUGCCAGAAAUAGUUUUAGAAAUAUCCUUUACUAAAGUCCCUAUGUAUGAUUAUGUCUUUCUCCUCUUUCUUAAUCAUUCUGUUAGUAUAUCAUUCACUCCCAGUUCCUGAUACAUGCCUUUUUAAUUUCCCUCAUAUGGAAACCUAUAUCAUUUUUCCAAGAUUCCUCCCUCCAAAAAUACAAUCCUUAUCACCCAAAAUCAACAUUCAUACUCUCACUUUUUUUUAAUUCUCUGAAUUUCUGAGUACAUAUAGUCAAUGGUUGCUGGUACCACUUCCAUACAUUC